AUUUUGUCUGUUAUUUUUAGCCACUGUAUAUUUACAUAUGGGAGUCAUUACAUAUUUUAAAAUCAAUUAAUGGCUCAAAUUACAUGAAAAAACAUGACGCAACCUAUGAGGCUUCUUGUUGCUGGGUUUUAUACUGUGUGACUACUGGAAGUGGAAUUAAUAAGAUUAUCUUUGGCAAAGGCACAAAGUUAAUCAUUGAAACAAGUAAGUUACAUUUAUUAAGCUUUACUGCAGUCUGUAUGCUUUUAAAGGUGAAUUCACUUUAACAGUGAUUAUUUAAUUCUAGCUGGAAGUGAAUACAUAUGAAGUGUAAAUUCAAAUUAAUACUUGGAACAAACCAUUUUCUAUGAUUAUAUACACAGUACAUCACUAGUGUUAGUUCAGAUGAUUUUUAGAUGAUUUUUGUAUCAUUGUACAGGAAUGUGCAGAAAUGUAGUAAUUUUAGUCAAGUAAAAUUAAUUUCAAAAUGUUAAAUAUAAACUAUACAUUUUGCUAAUAACCUGUCAUAUUGGCAAAUUUAAUGGUAUUUUACUUACUGAAUUCCAUAACUACAGAACUGUCAUAACUACAUAUCUUUAUACCCUAAUGUUUAUUGACAUAUGGUUUGUUUGAAUAUUACAGAUUAAUCAUCCACGAACAAUAGAACGUUUUGAAUAUUUCGUACAUAGAAUUCAAUUUGUAUGUUAUAUUUAGAUAGUGACACAGGAUAAUGAAAUUUCCACAUUUGUAAAUAAAAACAUAGUUUCUAACUAAUCUAUUUAACUAAAAGCAUAGCUCACGAAAACAGUAUCUAGAAUCUAGUAUCUAGUAUUAUUGAUCAGGGCCAGAACACUGUGUGAAUGAUGGUGGAUUUAAACUCUACUUUGGUUCGGGAAUCAAACUGAUUGUUCAGAAAAGUAAGUGUGUAACAAUAAAUAGUAUUUUAAAGACUUGAUUAUAAUAAUUUGUGUAUAGUUCAUCACUGAGAUAUUAGACUAGAGUUCGAACACUGAGUUUCCCUGAAGCAUCAUAACAAUAAUAAUAAUAAUAAAAAAAAUCAAAGUUAACUGGUACAAAACCUUAUAUUAAACAUUACGAAUCUACUUUGUCUCUGGAACAAAAUUUAUCAUUGAGACAAGUAAGUAAGUAGCUAACAAAAAUUAGCAACAAAUAAUACAUUCAAAAUGUUAGUAAGUGGAUAACAAAAUCGGGGAAAAAGUUGUUAGGUCAUAUUUUAUAUAUGUAUAUACCCAUUUAAUGUAUUCUUAUUAUGUACUUUUUCUUAACCAGUAGCGACUAUAAAUUUUCUAUAAACAUUCUCUAAGAUUUUAAGAUUUUAAGUUUUUUUCAGUAAAGUAUGAAAUUUGAGAUAUACCGAUGAAGUAAAAAUAAUAUGUAAUAGAGUAUUGUAAUCAAAGAGUAGUCACAUGGUCAAAGAGUUAUUGCUUAAGGAAAGUUGAGUGUGUGAUUAACACAGGAGACAGAAGAAUCUAUUUUGGCUCUGGAAUCAAACUAAACACCGAAUCAAGUAAGUGUUUAGCAUUAAACACAUAGCGUUAAGAUGCUCUUAACUUUGUUACUUCUAGUGAACAGUACCAUGUUUAAGUUAAUGACACUACUACAAACUGACUGUUGAGACAAGUAAGUUAAAAAUAUAAAUAAAAAAGUCGCUAGAUAAUAUAUAUAUAUAUAAAUUAUUUUGUUAUGCUUUGUCAAAACUAAAAAAAAAUAAAAUCUUAAAGACAUUAUCUAGGAUUUUUCAUACAUGCUGGAUAUGACAUUUACAAACCAAGUAAUAUACUUAGUAUCAAAGUUAGCAUAGUUGUAAGCACAAUACUUGAAAUACCAAGUUUACAAUGUCAGAAUGAGUUUUAUUCAAAACUUAACUGUUGAAGUUUGUAAGAGCAGGUCACUACUACAAAUAAGUCUAUAUUUAGUAAAGAAACACAAUGUUUUGUUAAUAAAUGUUUAGUGCCUCAAAAUGACAUAUUCAAACACAUCGGUUUCAAUUUCAAAUACAUAUCAUGAAACGCAAUAGCGAAUUUUACUCAAAUGUAUGAGACUAGUCACAUGACCAAAGAGUUAUUGCUUAGGGAUAGUACAGUGUGUGAAUAACAAUAGAAUCUACUUUGGCUCUGGAAUCAAAUUAAUCACAGAAUGAAGUAAGUGUUUAGCAUAUAUUUUUUUGGGGAAAAAAUGUAAUCUGUUAAAUGGUGAUACAAGUAGGAUUACCAAAAAUUAUUACAUAAAAACACAAUAUCUAUACGUUAUUGUUGGUCCAUAAUGGAAAAUCAAUCAACUAGAGCCAAUUGCACUAAUAUUUGGGAUAUUACGGCAGUAUAUAAUAUUUUAAAUAAAGUGAAACGGAAUGUAGGAAAUGUAGCUAGAAUAUAUCAUAAAAAGAUUUGUAGAGUUAGUGAUCAGAGUCAGAACACUGUGUGACUGAUGGUGGAGGCUUUAAACUGUACUUUGGUUCAGGAAUCAAACUGACUGUUGAAAAAAGUAAGUGUGCAAAG
ensembl:lncRNA